rnacentral:lncRNA from 1 species
GGAGUUUUCUUUCCUUUUAUUAUGUCUUAUAUAUUUCUUUCUUUCUUUCUUCCUUUCUUUCUUUGGAUAGCUGGAUAUGAUUUAUUAGGUAAAAGGAACUAUGGUCAAGAGGCCUUCAGUGGCAUGGUGGUAAGAUGUGGGGAGAAAAUCCUUGCUUAGGUCUGUCUGUUAGUGAGCCUGGGACUCUACACUGUGAUCUUCACAACCGCUUCUGUUUCUGGCCUUAGGUGAAACAGGAUGGCUAGAAUGGGCUGAAGUUGGGUAUCUCCCAGCCCCCAGAUCAGUUAGGUUCUGACAAGACUCCAGCAGGUCUCCCAAAAUAUUUUCUCCUGAGGUUUUUCACUUGUUAGGAUGGAGUGGCAACUUUCAACUCCUUACAUGCCAAAUCAGAAACCAGAAGUCCCCCAAUGAAUUUCGUCCAGAACAGGAACUACUUCGCCAUCUUGGAUCCUGGAGGGAAAACCUGGCUGAAGAGACUCAUUUUAGAGAUAUUACAAGAAGGAGAAAUCAUCUUUGUUACUGUAAAGUGCUGAUAUUUGGGGGUUGUAUGUUAACACAGCCCAACCUAGCCAAAAUGUACUGAUAUAUGUCGUAUGUGGGAUAUGGCAAUGAUAAAAAUAGAAUGGUUUUCAGGUCAAAGGAGUGUCUUCUAAUGAUGUAGACAUGUUUUCUUGUUACAGCCUGGGGUGUUAAAUGUAUCUUUACUAAUUGUUCUCUCAUAUCUCUUGUGAUUGAGAACAGAUGGCUGUGAUGAUUUUCAGAUGAUGUUCUGAUGAUCUGGGAAACAUUGAGCAAUCUUUAAUCAUCUUGAAAUUUUUAAGAAAUAAUUUCUUAUUUAUCAAAAAAAAUGAGCUGCAAGAUGUUUUUCCUUCAAGAAUGACUUAGCAUAGAAAGCACCCAUGAUUAAGGCUAACAAAUAAGACAGUACAAUUUAAGUAUUCUGAUUUCAAGUGCAUUUUCUUUCCUAGCAAUGUAUAAAAAUCUGUCUUGCAAAAAUAUAAAUUUUGAAUAUCAAGCAGUUACUGAAUAAAAGAUCAGAGACAGGCAGAGUUCAAUGUUAUAACAUUCAAAUAGAUACAUGUAAAAUUAAAAUUGUAAUUUGAGGAAAAGUAUUUAGUAAAAGUAAUUAAAGCUUUACUCAGUAAUAUCUUCAAGGUUACUCUUUUGUCAGAAAAAUAUGUAUAAUACAUUGAAAAACACAUUAUGUUUUUGAAUUUAAAGCUUUUUUCUUAUCAUAUAAAUAAGUGGAGAUAAUUUGAAAUGUAAAGUAAAAAAGAAGGCUGGGUGUGGUGCCUCACGCCUGUAAUCCCAGCAGUUUAGGAUGCCAAGGCGGGGGAACACUCGAGGUCAGGGGUUCAAAACCAGCCUGACCAACAUGGUAAAACCUGUCUCUACUAAACAAUACAAAAAUUAGCCGGAUAGGUGGCAGAUGCCUGUAAUCCCAGCUACUCGGGAGGCUGAGGCAGGAGAAUCACUUGAACUUGAGAGGCAGAGGUUGCAGUGAGCCAAGAUCGCACCACUGCACUCCAGCCUGGGUGACAGUGUGAAACUCCAUCUCAAAAAAAAAAAAAAAAAAAAAAAAAAAAAAAAAAAAAAACAAGAAGAGGAAGAAGGAAGAAGGAGGAAAGAAAGCCAUAUAUGAAUUUAUUGACUCAGAAGUUUUUGACCUCACUCAAUAUUUGGAGCCAGUUGUUUGGUCUGUCUAUAUUAUAUCCAUGGCUAUAUCUGUCUAGGGUUUUAUAAAAUUUAGAUCAUACAUUAUAGACAACUGUAUAUUCUGGAUGUUUUGUCAUUAGGAGUGAUUUCUUUUUCUCAUAUAUUCUUAGAAAAUAUAUUUUACUAGUUUUAUAGUAAUUGCCAUAAAAGAGAAAUUUACUAAAUCACUGCCCUAUUUAGACACUUUUUUUUGCUAAGGUGCUAUUAAAAACAAUUAUUUCCCCUUUUUAGUCACAUGAAUGUUAUUCCCACUGUGUGUGUUAUUGAAUGACUAGACUACUGAUUCAUAUUGAUAAAUUGCUGUCUAGAAAUUUAUUCCAAUUUUCUACCCAUCUUGUAUAUGCAUAAAAGUAUUAUUUUAAUAUAUAUUCAUGAGAGACAUAGAUUUUGCUUUCAUUUCUACAUUUUGCUGGCUUUUUAGUAAAAAAAAAGUUUUCUUUUAUUGUAUUUAUGUAUAUUCCUCCUACUUUUUCCACUAAUCUGUCACAUUGCAUUCAUCAAAUACUAAAGUCUUCUUUGUAAUAAGGUCUAAUUCUGUGUUUUCUAUUGUCUCAUUGAUCUAUAUAGACCAUAAUUGUCUAUAUUAUGGAUCCUCUAUUUUUAGAUUAUUUUUCAUUUAAAUAGUGAUAAUUGUAGUUGAAGUUUCUUGAGCUCUUAGUAUAUGUUAGUAAUUCGGCUAAGCAUACAAAUCUAACGUUACUAGUUACAUACAUUAGAGUGACUUUUUUCCUCAAGGGAUUAAACUUUCAUUAUUAUCUAAUGACCUACUCUUGGUAGUAUUGUCUUAUAAGUUAAAUUUUGUAUACUAGUGACAUAGUUAAACAAGUUUGUUUUCAUGGUAAAUAUUAGCCCAAUUUAUCUUUUUUAUAUUUUUACUUACAAUAAAUCCUUGCUAUUUUGUUUUAAGUUUAGGCCUUGAAAUCAACAUAUUGCUAGAUUUUUUAAAACAUCCAAUCUAACAGUCUCUAUCUUUGACUGAAAAGUUCAGUCAAUUUUUGAGUAUUAUUAUUAUAAUUCAUAUUUUUAGGAUUUUUAUAUUAUGCUAGUGAACUCAGGGUGUCCUUCUUCUUGCUUUUUAAAAAAAUUCUUCAUUUUUAAAAUUUAUCUUAUAUUUUUUCUAUUCUUAUUAUUUACUCACUAAGAAUACAGGCAUUAUUUCUAAUAAUAUUAACUUUGCUAUUUUCUUUAUUGUAAAUAUAAAUAAGCAAUAUGCAAUAUCUUAACUCUUCCUCAAAGCCCAAAUUAACCCCACAAAGCAGCAUAAUUUGUUAUGUAUUUGUAUUAAAAUGCUCAUUUGCCCUUUUGUGUCCAUAUUCA